GAGUUUGAUCGUGGCUCAGAUUGAACGCUGGCGGCAGGCUUAACACAUGCAAGUCGAGCGGGGGAGAUUGCUUCGGUAAUUGACCUAGCGGCGGACGGGUGAGUAAUACUUAGGAAUCUGCCUAUUAAUGGGGGACAACAUCUCGAAAGGGAUGCUAAUACCGCAUACGCCCUACGGGGAAAGCAGGGGAUCACUUGUGACCUUGCGUUAAUAGAUGAGCCUAAGUCGGAUUGGCUAGUUGGUGGGGUAAAGGCCUACCAAGGCGACGAUCUGUAGCGGGUCUGAGAGGAUGAUCCGCCACACUGGGACUGAGACACGGCCCAGACUCCUACGGGAGGCAGCAGUGGGGAAUAUUGGACAAUGGGGGGAACCCUGAUCCAGCCAUGCGCGUGUGUGAAGAAGGCCUUAUGGUUGUAAA
rnacentral:rRNA from 1 species